rnacentral:lncRNA from 1 species
GUGUAUAGAGAGAGGAUGAGAUAAUCAUAUAAUUGAACAGAUACUGUGUAUAGAGAGAGGAUGAGAUAAUUUGUUAUCUGUUUUGUUCAUAUUUUUUUAGAAAUAAUUGCCUAUAUACUUUUCAUACGUUUAAAAUUAUCCGAUUUAUUCGUACAUUUUUUUUUUCUAAAAUACCUCUCAUAUGUUCCAUCUUUGUUGCAAAACAUUCUUGUAGUUAUCUCCUGUUAAGUUAGCUUGGGUUAAACGUGAAUUAGAUAUCUACUACAGUUAAAAAAAAUUAAAAUGCCUAUUUUGCCCUAACGUAAUGGUAAAUUAAAAAUGUUGGUGACAGUAGAGGAGUAUAUUGGAAAAGAUCAAAAGUCAAAAUAUUUUUUGUGCUCUUGACUUUAAGGGCAAAUAAGAAAGUCAAUAAUGGUGGAGGGGUAUAUUUGAAAGGGCAAAAUGGUAAUUUUACAGAGAUAACAGGGUUAAUUAACAGAUUUUAACUCUAGAGGUAUAUUGAAAAUAGGUUGUAAUGUAAAAAGGCAAAUAAGAAAGUCAGUGAUGAUGGAGGGGUAUAUUUGAAAGGGCAAAAUAGUAAUUUUACAGAGAUAACAGAGUUAAUUAACAGAUUUUAACUCUAGAGGUAUAUUGAAAAUAGGUUGUAAUGUAAAAAAGAUAUUUUUAGUAUUAGCCUUCUAAGAGGGAUAAAUUGAAAAAUUAAAAAUUUUUCAGGAAUAUAUAAGAAAUUAUUCUUAUUUUUUAAUGAACUUAUAACUAGAAAUAUGAAGUAAUAAGGUUUUUGAAUUUGGUAUCUUGUCUUGU